AUUGAACGCUGGCGGCAUGCCUUACACAUGCAAGUCGAGCGCGAAAGGGGGCAACCCCGAGUAGAGCGGCGGACGGGUGAGUAACACAUCGGAACGUGCCCAGUAGUGGGGGACAACCUCGAGAAAUCGAGGCUAAUACCGCAUACGACCCACGGGUGAAAGCGGGGGACCCAAAGGAAACUGAGGGCCUCGCGCUAUUGGAGCGGCCGAUGUCCGAUUAGCUAGUUGACGGGGUAAGAGCCCACCAAGGCGACGAUCGGUAGCUGGUCUGAGAGGACGACCAGCCACACUGGGACUGAGACACGGCCCAGACUCCUACGGGAGGCAGCAGUGGGGAAUAUUGGACAAUGGGGGCAACCCUGAUCCAGCGACGCCGCGUGUGUGAAGAAGGCCUGCGGGUUGU
rnacentral:rRNA from 1 species